rnacentral:rRNA from 1 species
GACAGAGGGGGCAAGCGUUGCUCGGAAUUACUGGGCGUAAAGCGCGCGUAGGCGGAUCUGCAAGUCGGGGGUGAAAUCCCGAGGCUCAACCUCGGAACUGCCUUCGAUACUGCGGGUCUCGAGUCCGGGAGAGGUGAGUGGAAUUCCGUAGUGUAGAGGUGAAAUUCGUAGAUAUUAGGAAGAACACCAGUGGCGAAGGCGGCUCACUGGCCCGGUACUGACGCUGAGGCGCGAAAGCGUGGGGAGCAAAGCA